rnacentral:lncRNA from 1 species
UCAAAUCUAACUGAUGAUCAGUUCAAAUCAGUGCUCCUUUACCAUGCCUUGCCACGAUACUAUGCCCUUGCGGACUUCAAUGACCUAAGUGAGAAAGGCCUUAUUAGUACACUUGCUGGUGGCCAAUACACUUUGCAAUUCAACGAUGAGUCUGGUACCGUCCGCCUCGAUUCCGGAUGGAGCAAAACAAAAGUCACUAGCGCAGUACAUACGUCCAAGCCAGUCGCAGUCUAUCAAAUCGAUAAGGUCCUUCUUCCGGAGGCCAUUUUCGGGACCGACAUACCUCCGACACCUGCACCUGCCCCGGCUCUUGGUAUUGGCCCAUCAGCUGACACUCCAUCAGCAGCAAAAUCCGAAGAAACUGGUUCCUCAUCAAAGCCUUCGUUUUCGGGUUCAUCAUCUCCUAGGAUCAUGAUGAACUCGGGCAUUUGGACUCAG